UGCAGCCUGUAUUAGCUUUUAAUUUAAAAUGUAAUAUGCAUCCAUUGUAGAUCAUCCAAACAUUGCUCUUGUAGAAUGUUAAAAUGAAAGCUUUCUGCUUACAGUCAUCACUAUCUAUGGAAGGCCCCCUUUUUAUUCUAGCUGUUUAAUAAUAAAAAUGACAUAUAGAUGAUGAACAAAAAAAAGGAAAUAAAAAACUUCUAACUACUGUACUUAGAAAUAACAACCAAAUUUGUUUCAAGCUUUUCCCCUUUUCUGAGGGUGCCUUUUUUAAAACAGAAAAUUUAGAAUCUCGUAGACUUUGUGUGCUCGCCUGAAUUUUAUUGCGGGUUUAUUGCUGAGGGAUUUCUCUUGUUAACUCACUGAGCAAGACUCAAAUGGCAGUCGGGAGUGUUCGGAUUAUCCCUGGAGUCCUAACCAACAUAUCCAUGGGAUAAUUCAGGGGACUGGUGAAACUGGAGGGAAAAUGAUCGCAUCUUUAUCUCCUCUAAGGCCCAACUGAAAUUUAGCUUUUCCUUCCAUGACGGACAUAGGCAACAAGCCAAUCAUGUUAUCAGAAUCUGUCAUUUUGUCACCAACAAAAUCACAGAUAUUUUCUCAUCACGUAUAGCCAUGGCUGCUUUUCCAAACUGUAAUUUGAGCUCAAGUGCUACUUCGAGGUAAGGACGUUAUUAGACUCUCUGUGAGAUCCAUGUUUCUAAAAUAGCACAUAUCUGACUAUAUCACAAUUUAAAAUAUUUGGUAACUGUAUUUCAAUGUAAUUGUUUCUUUUGUAAUUCCACAAAUUUUAUACAUUUGAAAACAUUCUGAGAAGAGCUUAUUGGCUUUGUAAAACUUCCAGAAGGGUCUGAGAUUCCCAGAAGCUUAACAGCGCCUGGAUUGGAGAGAAAUGCUUUUUUCCCUGAAGUCGCUGAUCAUUUAUUUUUAAUUUUUAAUUUUUAAAAAACGCAGAGCCCCUUUGCAGAACUCAACUGCCUCCUGCUUCUCACCCAAAUCCUUUCUUGUUUUUCAGAGCCGAACGCAGCCGGCGCCAGGGUCCCGCGGAGAGAGGCAGCAGGAAGUGAGGCUGAGGGGCUGUCUGUGUCGCGCAGGCAGCCGGGCAGGGCUGUUUUCCAUGGCUGCUGGCCCUCUCCUUAGAUGAGUACACAGCUGCUUUUCACAGCGCUCAGCCUGCCCUCCUGGAGGGAUCCUUUGAGGAGAAAAUCCAUCUCAACAUCCACAUGUUGUGUAUCACUUCAACGCGGGGCAGGGCAACGAAGACCAAAGCUCCCCCACUUUCAGGAGGCGACUCCCCCUUCUUUGCUGGACAGGGGCGGACAGGAACCGCGUUGGCUUUGGCAGUUCACAGGGCAGUGGAUCAGGGCCCCAGGAGGAGCAAGAUGGUGCAGCUGUAGGCACUUCUGAGUGACGAGAGGCAGGCGUGCGUUGAAGGUGAUCUGCGGGGCCCUCACACACAGGGCUGGGCAAGGUCCUGCAGUCGUGGGGAACGUGGAAGUUCUGACCCAGGCCUUCUGUCACCGGUCCCAAGCCCACGUCGUUUCUGCGACAGCAUGACUGCCCAGUAAGUCAUCUGCUUACCAGUGUCCCCCGAGCCAAGGACAGCAAUGGAAAGCCGUGUGGUAUCACUCCGGAAGAGGAAAGUCGGUGGCCCUUUAAGCAGGAUGAAGUCAAUCCUGCAGGCCACAUGGUUUGCCACGUGGCACAUGCCUCCCCCUGUGACCUCAUUCAAUCCCUGCAGAGCCCCUGGCGGCCAUCGUCGUAUGGUUGGCACCAGCACGGACUCCAGAGCCCACCGCCUGGCCUAUGGCCCCAGCUCUGUCCUUGUUAGCGGUGGAACCUGGGCAGCAACUUAACCUGUCUGGGCCUCUGUUUCUUCAUGCAUAAAAUAAGAAUAGCACUGGUACUCCUGUGCAGGGCUGCUGCGAGAAUCAAGGUGCCUCGCUGGAAAUUAAUGUGAGGGGAGCUAGUGUGAUCUGUGAAGGCUCCUUUGAGCAUGUGACAUCUGAGCUGCCCUCUGAAGAUGACAAGGAUCCAGAUGUGACGGGGAGAAGGAGAUGCUGCAGGCAGAGGACAAAGUUAAGGACACAGUACUCCUCCCUUCUGAAGGGCACAGCAACAAGGCGCCACCACGGAAGCAGGGUCCAGGCCCUCACCUGACAUGAAGCCUGCCAGGGCCUUCAUCUUGGACAUCCCAGCCUCCAGAGCAGGGUAAGUUCUGCUUUUUAUAAAUUACCCAGUCUCAGAUAUUUUGGACUAAGACAGUGCAUGCUGGUGACCUUGCGUAAGUACCAAAAAUGUCCCAAUUGGCAGUUCCUGUCCCCACCUGAUAGCUCCUCUCAGCCCACACAUGGGCCUACCAGGGGUGCUAGGGGGUCCUCAGUAGCCAUGGAUGGAAGUUGGGAGAUAAAUACCCGUAAUUUCACAC